AGCUUUGCCCGGUGGCAGUAUUGUAGCCAAUGAGGUUUAUCCAAGGUGCGAUUAUUGCUAAUUGAAAACUGUUCCCAAUACCCUGCGAUGAUGACUUGCAAUAUAGUCGGCCCUGGCAAUUUUCGACAGUCUCUACAGAGA